rnacentral:rRNA from 1 species
UACGUAGGGUGCAAGCGUUAUCCGGAAUUAUUGGGCGUAAAGAGCGUGUAGGCGCCAGACAGGUCCGUUGUGAAAACUCGAGGCUCAACCUCGAGAUGUCGAUGGAAACCGUCUGGCUAGAGUCCGGAAGAGGAGUGUGGAAUUCCUGGUGUAGCGGUGAAAUGCGCAGAUAUCAGGAAGAACACCUAUGGCGAAGGCAGCACUCUGGGACGGUACUGACGCUGAGACGCGAAAGCGUGGGGAGCGAACAGG